GAUGAACGCUAGCGGCGUGCCUAACACAUGCAAGUCGAACGGACGGAUCUGCAAGUCUUCGGAUGAGCAGUGAAGUUAGUGGCGAACGGGUGAGUAACACGUAGGUGACCUGCCCCGAAGUGGGGAGUAAUCCUUCGAAGGAGGACUAAUCCGCAUGGUCUCCGUGUGGUUUGAGGACACGGAGUAAAGCAUUGGCGCUUUGGGAGGGGCCGUGCGGCCGAUUAGCUAGUUGGUGGGGUAAUGGCUCACCAAGGCGACGAUCGGUAGCUGGUCUGAGAGGACGAUCAGCCACACUGGCACUGGGACACGGGCCAGACACCUACGGGAGGCUG
rnacentral:rRNA from 1 species